CAGUCGCCACGGUAAUACGAAGGGUGCAAGCGUUACUCGGAAUUACUGGUCGUAAAGCGUGCGUAGGUGGUGGUUUAAGUCCGUUGUGAAAGCCCUGGGCUCAACCUGGGAAUUGCAGUGGAUACUGGGUCACUAGAGUGUGGUAGAGGAUAGUGGAAUUUCCGGUGUAGCAGUGAAAUGCGUAGAGAUCGGAAGGAACAUCUGUGGCGAAGGCGACUAUCUGGGCCAACACUGACACUGAGGCACGAAAGCGUGGGGAGCAAACAGGAUUAGAUACCCCCGUAGUCCCUGUCUCUUAUAC
rnacentral:rRNA from 1 species